GAUGAACGCUGGCGGCGUGCCUAAUACAUGCAAGUCGAGCGAACAGAUGAGGAGCUUGCUCCUCUGACGUUAGCGGCGGACGGGUGAGUAACACGUGGAUAACCUACCUAUAAGACUGGGAUAACUUCGGGAAACCGGAGCUAAUACCGGAUAAUAUAUUGAACCGCAUGGUUCAAUAGUGAAAGACGGUUUUGCUGUCACUUAUAGAUGGAUCCGCGCCGCAUUAGCUAGUUGGUAAGGUAACGGCUUACCAAGGCAACGAUGCGUGGCCGACCUGAGAGGGUGAUCGGCCACACUGGAACUGAGACACGGUCCAGACACCUACGGGAGGCAGCAGUAGGGAAUCUUCCGCAAUGGGCGAAAGCCUGACGGAGCAACGCCGCGUGAGUGAUGAAGGUCUUCGGAUCGUAAAACUCUGUUAUUAGGGAAGAACAAAUGUGUAAGUAACUAUGCACGUCUUGACGGUACCUAAUCAGAAAGCCACGGCUAACUACGUG
rnacentral:rRNA from 1 species